CAUCCUACACAAGGUAAGUAGUCUUAUUGAUAUAUAUAUUCAUUAGCUAUGACAUUUAAAAAAUAAAUUCAGGUGCUUUUAAUUCUCUUGAUAAUUUUUUCAGCUUAGAAAAUAAUCCAGAUUUAAAAUGAUGCUUUUGAUCCUUUUUUUUUGUCAAUGAUAUUUAAGAUAUUUAGAAAUAAAUGACGUUUUCAUUCGGGUUAUCUUCAAAAUUACAAGAAGAUAUAUGAUGCAAGAUAAGAUCUUUUACAGAAAUCUUAACUUAAAUAACUUUAAAAGGACCAACCAUUCCCUUCAGGAACUGAAAUAAAAUACCAUCUGUAAUAAGAGAAAGAUUAGAUUCGAAUCUUUAUACUUAAUUUUCAUUAUAAAUAUAAUAUCAACCAUUAUUACUAGUAAUAUUCAAAAUUAUGCUUGUUUGGUUUUGCUCUUUAAAUAUCACAUUUCAAUUACUUCUUUUAAGAUUUCGCAGCAGAAAUGUAUCUUGUAAAUUGUAAAUUACUUAUCAAAAUUAGAUACCUCAUAUAUAGCAAAGAGUGUUAAUACUUCAAGAUACAAAUAUCUGAAUAGUUGUGUGUUGUUAUUUUUAUUUAGGUUCAUUUGAUCUUUAAAAAGAGUACAAUAACCAAGUUCUAUUCAUAUAAAAACUUUGUUAAUUAAAACCAAAAUAAGUAAAUGAACAACUAUUAUUUUGCAUGCUUUAUUUUUAACUGAAAAGAUGUGUUUUUAAUUUCUUUCAAAAUAUUUCAUCCUGACCAUGAAGGCAAGAAUUGAUGUUUUGUAGAAGUAACAUGGAUCAUGACCCUGAUCAUACAUGUCUUAAUGACCAUUGUUUUGUCAACACUGUUACUGUGCAUUAUAUAUAGUACAUAGUGACCCUUCUCUCUCCAAUCGUCAAAUCCCAGAUAUAACAUGUAUAAUGAACAUUGUGUAAAAAAAAAUGUAUGACCGAAUAUUGGUUUAUCCUACUUCUCCUCUACAUUUAUUGUCUAAUAACUCUUAUAACAUACUGUCAACUUUUGGAGAAAAAAAAUAAAAGUAGCUUUAAAUUCAAGAUCCAUGUUCAAUGAUAUAUCCCUUUACAAAUAUAAUACAAGAUUUCUCCGUUCUACAUCAAAUUUCAGAACUUUUCUGUUCUUUCGCAAACUGAACAUCAUAAAGUAGACUAUGCAAUUGAUCACAGGAGUAUCUGAGAAAAAUAGUGGUAAAGUUUUGUAACCUCAACCUGUUUUUCAUAAUUUUUGUUCUUCAAUAAUAAGUACUAAAUUUAUAUUAGUAUCAGUUCUAAGCUGUUGUGUUGAACGAUUUGAAAUCAAUCUAUCAGCAAUCAGCAUUGAAAAUGGAAAUGGGGAUUUGGGAGACAACAACUCGACCAAAGAUCGGAUAACAGCUGAAGGCCACCAAUAGGUAACAAAAGAAACGAAACACAAUGACAAUGAUGCAUACAUUAACAAAGAAAUACUAGCAGUUAGUGACAUGCCAGCUCCAGACCUCAAUCAAACUGAUUGCAAGAUUAUGUCUUUAUCAUAUGAAUUUGAAGCACCAUCCCUCCCGUUAAGUGUUGGGUGUCAUUUCAUCAUAAAAUAGAUGUAGAACAUAGUCCGUAUUACAACUGGUUUUAGAAUAAGUAAAACAAUAUUACAGCUAAAAUAUGCCAUCAUUAUGACCUGACAAUAGUGUCGUAACUAUAUCCCUUUUUAAUUAGAUGUUUAAAGGGGCUUUUCUUGGCUUUUGAAGUGAAUGCCGACAUUUUUGUGCUUUUUAAAGAAUAUUACCAUAAACGAUUGGAAAUGAAAUACCUAAACGUAAAAUAUGUUUGCAUGUUGAUUUAUAUUUACGAAUGAUGUCCUUGUACCGAUGAUAAAGUUUAGUAAAAGUUUUGACUAGUUUUAAUAUCGAAAACCCUUGCGUAAUAAUUUUUCAGUAAUACAUAGAUUUCUUUCUCUUAAAUCUAAAACAUUGCUAAAUACACGAGCGAAUCGUACAAGUUGAGUACAAGUAAAGCAUGUUUUGAAGAAUCCUCAAUAAAAGAGAACACCUAAAUCUUUUAAAAGUGGGCUGUAAAUUUCUAAAUAUCAAAAAGGGUUGAGGGGAGGAGGUAAUUUCAAGUGCUUGUUUAUUCAAAAUAAAGAGAACAACAUGUUGCUCCUCAGAUAUCUACAUUGAUUUCUAAAUAUUAAUAUUUUUCCCCAUACAAAAUAGGAAUUGGCACUAACAAUAUAAUGUAAAAUCGCACAGACCUUAAUUCUUUUAAACAAGAAAAGCAUACACUUAUGUGAAGGGGUUCGUAGGGAAAUCUUGCCAAGCUUUAGUUUUGUUAUUCUCUUGUCCGGUAAUUCUGAGUUCCAUCAAUACUUAUCGAUAGGUUUAAAAGACAGCUUUAUUCUAUUGAACAAAAAAUUCAUAUAGAUAUCUUUCAUUUGCAUUUACCUCAUAUUCAAUACAAAAUUUUUAAUAGGAUGUCAUGCUACCCUAUUUAUGUCAUUGGGUUGCUGUCUCAUUGAUGUAUACAUGUACCCUUCAUCUCCAUUUAUUUAUACUAAACAAAAAAAAACAUUUCUUUAUAUUUGUUAUGUAACACUGUACAAAUGAAUAUAUAUAAAAAAACACAGUCACUAACAUAAUGUCAUACAACAAAGAUGUUGUGAACCUGAAUGCACUAACUUAAAAUAAUAAGUUGUACCACAUACACCGGAUUAUAUAUACAUAAUAUACAUUAGCAUCUACACAAAAUAAACAUAUAUUUGCAGAUACAACAUGCAGCUCUCCAUUGCUCUAGGUUUACUAUUGGCAGCUGUAUGCACCAAUGCCUCAUACCUCAAAUGUUGGGGUAAAAGCUGUGGUGGAUAUGGUGGCGGAUACAGUGGUGGAUAUGGAGUUGGCUGGGGAGGCCUAGGUGGCUUGGGAGGUGGAUAUGGAGGCAUUGGUGGCUGGGGAGGAGGAUGGGGCAAAGGAGGAGGAUAUGGCCUAGGAGUUGGAUACGGAGGAUGGGGUCUAGGAGGUGGAUACAGAGGAUGGGGUAAAGGAGGAGGAUAUGGCCUAGUAGGUGGAUACGGAGGAUGGGGUAAAGGAGGUGGAUAUGGAGGAUGGGGUCUAGGAGGUGGAGUUGGAGGAUGGGGCCUUGGAGGUGGAUAUGGAGGAUGGGGCAAAGGAGGUGGAUGGGGCCUUGGAGGUGGAUAUGGAGGAUGGGGUAAAGGAGGUGGAUGGGGUAUUGGAGGUGGAUAUGGAGGAUGGGGCCUAGGAGGUGGAUAUGGAGGAAUCGGAGGUGGAUAUGGAGGUGGAUACGGAGGUGUUGUACUUAAAGGAAAAGGAUCAUACUAUUAAAUUCAGGAAAUCUUGUUAUGUACUGUCUCAGAAGGGAAAUAGGACACUUGUUGACGUCAAAUCCUUAUAUUAAUAUAUGCUGAUAUUUAGCAAAUAUAAAAUAGCUGUAUGACAGUGUUUAUUGUUUCUUUAUCCAAUAAUGUUUUAUCCUUCAUAAAAAUGUAAAUUUCACAAACAAAACAAAGGUGUAGGUCUGAUCAUGCACUCAUAUAUAUAGCCCCACCUUCUCACAACAAUUAUCAAUGUGGAUUAAUAGUCAAUAUAUAAUGAAUCAUGAGGGUCUGGAUAUUGGGUCCACCAUUUCUGUGUUCUUUUAUGUUUAAAGCCAUUUUUCUCUACUCUUAAUAAAUUGUAUCUGUUGUUCUCUAUUCUUUAUAUAACAGCACCUCAUUAUUCUCAAUUCCUUAUUCUCUUUGCAUAUUUACUCCAUAUGUGUUUGCCCUUUAUUCUGCAUUCUGUAAACCCCACCC
rnacentral:lncRNA from 1 species